ensembl:lncRNA
GUACGUGCUUUGGAGUUUGUAUGUGCUUUGUCUCUAGGGGCCAUCGUAAAUUUACUUUUAUUUAUUCACUCCACAUGAAAUGUAAUAAAUAAAUCAUGUAAUACAAAAAACAACUAUUCGCAUUUCAACUUUUAACUAUUUAAAUUUUCAGCUUUUUAAACAAAUUUAAAGUGAAACAACACAAAACACUACAAACCACAACACAAUUAAAUAUAAACUAUGAAAACAAAAAGAAGAUGCACAUUCUCUGUCAUAUGGACCUGCAUGAAUAAACUUUCUGAAUCCCUUAUCAUCUGCAACUGAAAAUAGUUGUGGAUGAUUACUAUACCUUUCUAAUGUGACGUUGUUGUCCCUGCUCUCUCUCUCUCUCCCUCCCGCUCUGUUCCUGUGCUACUGCCAGUGUAACUACCGCCCCUCCCCCCUCUGCCCAGCGCAAAGCACAGAGAGGGUGAGAGAAAGAAAAAAGAAACACAGCUCCCAAUAAGGUGCCGACUCGCGUCAUUCACUUCAAAGAUCCGGCUCUAACCCGUUUCGUUCGCGACCGACACAUCAGUAUCCGCCAGGGCCGCCCUUUGUCACUGAUUCUGUUAAUAAUUUUUAUGGACAAUUCCUAGGCCAAGCCAAGUGGCAGAAGGCUUUCACUUAGUUGGUCUCAGAAUCUCAUCUCUGGUUUUUGCAGAUGAUGUGGUUCUGUUGGCUUCAUCACGUGAUGGCCUCCAGCUCGCACUGGAGCAGUUUGCAGCUGAGUGUGAAGUGGCAGGAAUGGGGAUCAGCACCUCCAAAUUUGAGCGUGGUCCUCAAUCGGAAAAGGGUGGAGUGCCCGCUCCAGAUCUUUCCCGGACCUUUCCCUGCCUGUAAUCCUGUGAAUGAGUGUGACCCAGUUAAGGAGUGAGGAGAGUGAUUUGGAGACCUUUUGGAGCACGUUUGAUCCCCUUCCCUCCCCUCACGGAUCCUGGAGCCCUGGACCCCCCUUCAGCACAUUGUAUACUCUGUCAGUGCGCCCCAGGGUGGCUGUGGCUACAAUGUAGCUUGCCAUCACCAGUGUGUGAAUGUGUGUGUGAAUGGGUGGAUGACUGGAUGUGUAAAGCGCUUUGGGGUCCUUAGGGACUAGUAAAGCGCUAUAUAAAUACAGGCCAUUUACCAUUUAUAUAUUAUCACCUGGUGUUGUCUGUAU